rnacentral:rRNA from 1 species
UACGUAGGGUGCGAGCGUUAAUCGGAAUUACUGGGCGUAAAGCGUGCGCAGGCGGUCUGUUAAGACCGAUGUGAAAUCCCCGGGCUUAACCUGGGAACUGCAUUGGUGACUGGCAGGCUUUGAGUGUGGCAGAGGGAGGUAGAAUUCCACGUGUAGCAGUGAAAUGCGUAGAGAUGUGGAGGAAUACCGAUGGCGAAGGCAGCCUCCUGGGCCAACACUGACGCUCAUGUGCGAAAGCGUGGGGAGCAAACAGG